AGUGAACGCUGGCGGUAGGCCUAACACAUGCAAGUCGAACGGCAGCACAGUAAGAGCUUGCUCUUACGGGUGGCGAGUGGCGGACGGGUGAGGAAUACAUCGGAAUCUACUUUUUCGUGGGGGAUAACGUAGGGAAACUUACGCUAAUACCGCAUACGACCUACGGGUGAAAGCAGGGGACCUUCGGACCUUGCGCGAUUGAAUGAGCCGAUGUCGGAUUAGCUAGUUGGCGGGGUAAAGGCCCACCAAGGCGACGAUCCGUAGCUGGUCUGAGAGGAUGAUCAGCCACACUGGAACUGAGACACGGUCCAGACUCCUACGGGAGGCAGCAGUGGGGAAUAUUGGACAAUGGGCGCAAGCCUGAUCCAGCCAUACCGCGUGGGUGAAGAAGGCCUUCGGGUUGUAAAGCCCUUUUGUUGGGAAGGAAAAGCAGCAGGUUAAUACCCCGCUGUUCUGACGGUACCCAAAGAAUAAGCACCGGCUAACUUCGUG
rnacentral:rRNA from 1 species